rnacentral:rRNA from 1 species
GUUGUAUGGUUAAGUGACUAAGCGUACAUGGUGGAUGCCUUGGCAGUCAGAGGCGAUGAAGGACGUACUAACCUGCGAUAAGCUGUGAGAAGUCGGUAAGAGACGCUAUUACUCACAGAUUUCCGAAUGGGGAAACCCACCCAGCACAAGCUGGGUAUCUAUUACUGAAUACAUAGGUAAUAGAGGCGAACCGGGAGAACUGAAACAUCUAAGUACCCCGAGGAAAAGAAAUCAACCGAGAUUCCCUCAGUAGCGGCGAGCGAACGGGGAUUAGCCCUUAAGUUUCUUGGAAGUUAGUGGAAUGGUCCUGGAAAGGCCAGCGAUACAGGGUGAUAGCCCCGUACAUGAAAACGACCUUGAAGUGAAAUCGAGUAGGGCGGGACACGUGACAUCCUGUCUGAAUAUGGGGGGACCAUCCUCCAAGGCUAAAUACUCCUGACUGACCGAUAGUGAACCAGUACCGUGAGGGAAAGGCGAAAAGAACCCCUGUGAGGGGAGUGAAAUAGAACCUGAAACCGUGUACGUACAAGCAGUGGGAGCCCUUCGGGGUGACUGCGUACCUUUUGUAUAAUGGGUCAGCGACUUACAUUUUGUAGCGAGGUUAACCGUAUAGGGGAGCCGUAGGGAAACCGAGUCUUAACUGGGCGUCUAGUUGCAAGGUGUAGACCCGAAACCGGGUGAUCUAGCCAUGGGCAGGUUGAAGGUUGAGUAACAUCAACUGGAGGACCGAACCCACUAACGUUGCAAAGUUAGGGGAUGACCUGUGGCUGGGGGUGAAAGGCCAAUCAAACUCGGAGAUAGCUGGUUCUCCCCGAAAGCUAUUUAGGUAGCGCCUCGGACGAAUACUACUGGGGGUAGAGCACUGUUUGGACUAGGGGGUCAUCCCGACUUACCAACUCCAUGCAAACUCCGAAUACCAGUAAGUAAUAUCCGGGAGACACACGGCGGGUGCUAACGUCCGUCGUGAAGAGGGAAACAACCCAGACCGCCGGCUAAGGUCCCAAAGUUCUGGUUAAGUGGGAAACGAUGUGGGAAGGCUCAGACAGCUAGGAUGUUGGCUUAGAAGCAGCCAUCAUUUAAAGAAAGCGUAAUAGCUCACUAGUCGAGUCGGCCUGCGCGGAAGAUGUAACGGGGCUCAAACCAGGCACCGAAGCCGCGGAUUCACACUUAUGUGUGAGUGGUAGGGGAGCGUUCUGUAAGUCUGCGAAGGUGUAUCGAGAGGUAUGCUGGAGAUAUCAGAAGUGCGAAUGCUGACGUAAGUAACGAUAAAGGGGGUGAAAAGCCUCCUCGCCGGAAGACCAAGGGUUCCUGUCCAACGUUAAUCGGGGCAGGGUGAGUCGACCCCUAAGGUGAGGCCGAAAGGCGUAAUCGAUGGGAAGCAGGUUAAUAUUCCUGCACGACUUGUAAUUGCGAUGGGGGGACGGAGAAGGCUAGGUGGGCCAGGCGACGGUUGUCCUGGUGAAAGUGCGUAGGUGGUGUUUCUAGGCAAAUCCGGAGACACAACACUGAGACACGAGACGAA